CCCAUAUAUUUUCCUGGUCCAAUUUUUGGCUUGAGCUUAACAUUGAUUUUUAUAGCAAACGAACUCGACCAGAAGUAAAAAUUUCAAAAUUAUCGGAGAGGCCGCAAAACAGUUGGCAGAAAAACCAGGUCGAUUCGUUAUUAGUGAGGAGGGAAUAAAUCUUUACCAGUUUUUGCCGUACGAUCAUCAGCUGUUCUAUCAUUAUCGAGGCUCCUUAACGACGCCCGAUUGUAAAGAAUUCGUGCACUGGAUCGUUCUGAAAAACACUGCCAAUAUAGCUUAUUUAGAUUUGAAGAAUAUUACCAAUAUUCGUGGCGCUGAUGGAAAAAUGAUCCACACGAAUAAUAGAGAGCUGCAAGAGUUGAAUAAUAGGGUUGUGUCCAUUAGGCGCAUUCGGUAGCAGUUUACACAUUGUUAAUGUUAAGAAACAAUUUCACUUUUCAUUUAAUUUACGACAGUGCUUUACAGUCCCCGCAAAAAACUUUAUUAACACCCACAGUUGGAUCAUAAACAAAUUUCAAACUGAGGCCAUAACUAAACAGCGAAUUGCAGCUGAUACGGAGGCAAAAAAGUGCUCGUAGCUCGACGGGACAGACAAUUAUUGGAUUCAGUACGCACAAAUAAUCUGAAUUAAAUAUAUAACCCCAAUAAAUCGAAGUAGCGAAUUUCA